ensembl:lncRNA
UGUUUAAAGGCACAGUCAACUUAGUGUAUGCAAACUUCUGACCCACUGGAAUUGUGAUACAGUGAAUUCUAAGUGAAAUAAUCUGUCUAUAAUCAAUUGUUGGAAAAAUUACUUGUAUCAUGCACAAAGUAGAUGUCCUAACCUACUUGCCAAAACUAUAGUUUGUUAACAAGAAAUGUGUGGAUUGGUUGAAAAACGAGUUUGAAUGCCUCCAACCUAAGUGUAUGUAAACUUUCGACUUCAACUGUAUAUAUAUAUAUAUAUGACUGGCUGUACACUGGCUGUAUGUAUAUAUAUACAUAUAUAUAUACACACACAGUAUGUGUCUUGUUUUGUUCCUUUACAUUAUACUUUUAUAGAACAGUUUAACAGGAUCUCAACAACUGACGAAGACAGCCUUUUGUUUUUCAGCUGGUGUUCUGGUUAUCUUGGUUCUGCUGCUGGGCAUUGCUGGUUUCUUAGUGUACAGAUAUGGCAACAUUCCUUGGAGAGACAAACAUCCGUGAGUACCUUUUAUGACCUAAAUCAACAAUAGGGCUCAGAGUGUACAGCCAGUCAUCUUAGCUGUCCAAAAUGAAUUUAGAGAGGAUAAACGUAUGAUUUAGGACUGAACGCAACAUUUCCUUUUUUCAUCACACACCACAUCAGAUUUGCCCUUGCACAGCUAGCUCAGCUGGGUCGGGACUACAUUAACACCAACAGGGAAAACCAGAGGUGAGUUAGACUCUGUCAACCUGAGGACAUUUUUAGUAGUUACGUGGUUUAAUGUGCUGAAGUGUUUCAUGUUACAUUACUAAAUAUCAGUUAUCAUGCCAGACAACAGCUUAGAGCAGCAAGAAGUAACACGUGUUGUUGUUUUAACUUCUCUAAGGGACAACGGAGAUCCUGAUGAUCCAGCUGCUGGGGACGCUGAGUCUCUCCGAUCUGCGCUCGUCUAUAAUCUAUAACUGCAUUUGUCCCUUUGCACCAUCAGGGACCAGGGGGAUGGGGUGGAAGAGGAGAGGGAGCCACCACACAGUCAGGAGACACAUGUUGAGUCCGUCCUCUCUGCUGAAUGGGCAUCUUGUGAACAGCAGUCAAGGAGAGAGAGGUGAGCCAAGCAAGAUGUUCGUUCAGCCAAUGGGCCGUGAGGGAACAGAUACUGAAUUCUCUCAGAAGAGAAAUGCUGGAUUUCAUUUUGAGCCGGUUUGCUACAGCAGGAAAAUAAUCCUGCAGCAACAACAAAUGUGAAUUGUUACGUGGGUUGAUAGAUUUUUCAUUAGGGCAAAUCAAAUCGGUCAUUUUAAAGUGGAAAUUACCAACUUUCAAUGCCUUUUUAAACUUUGAAUACACUACAGGUUUGCAGGAAAAUGCUCAGCAACCAAAGAGUGAUCAAAUUAAGAUCGUACCUCUGUAAUCUCACAAUGGGGCAUGUAAUAACGUUUGUCUUGUGAUGGAUCAAUGAUGAUGUCAGGUAAACUUGACUACAUAUUGAUACAUCCACAACUCAUUGGGUAAUAAUGUCACCAACUCCAUUUUCCCACGGUUCAUGUCAGCCUCUGUCUCUUUAGGGAACAGUAUUAUGGUGGAUCAUGAAUGUGAAUGUUGAUGUCUUAUUACUCCAACAGGGUUAACGAUGAGACUAAGGAAGCAACUCCUGGUGCACAGAGUCCAGGACCUCCUCAGAUGAAUGGAGGUCCUCCCAUGUCUGACAGGUGAUAUUGUAACUAUUGCUAAAGUAACACUGUUCUGAGCUUUUUCUCCACUGUAUUUGAAUUGAAGGUACAGGAUUGUAUAAUAACCAUGUUUUUACCCAUGUUUCCUGAACCAGCCUGUCUUACUGUGUUCUGUGUCUAAGGUUGGAGAACAACCCUGUUGGUCAGCGCAUGAAGAAAACUGCUCUGGUGAACAAGCAGGACCAGGACUGGUCAGCAACGGCAUGUAGCCAGUUGAAAAUAUAUAGUAUAUAAGAUGAAACUAAGUGUAAAUAUAACAUUAUAUACACUGUAAUAUAGAACAGUAUAAUAUGACAUGAUAUACACUGUAAUAUAGAACAGUAUAAAAUAACAUGAUAUACACUGUAAUAUAAAACAGUAUAAUAUAAUAUGACAUGAUAUACACUGUAAUAUAGAACAGUAUAAUAUGACAUGAUAUACACUGUAAUAUAGAACAGUAUAAUAUGACAUGAUAUACACUGUAAUAUAGAACAGUAUAAUAUGACAUUAUAUACACUGUAAUAUAGAACAGUAUAAUAUGACAUGAUAUACACUGUAAUAUAGAACAGUAUAAUAUGACAG